rnacentral:rRNA from 1 species
GAGUUUGAUCCUGGCUCAGGUUGAACGCUGGCGGCAGGCCUAACACAUGCAGUCGAGCGGAUGAGGGGUGCUUGCACCCUGACCAGCACGGACGGGUGAGUGUGCCUGGACCUGCCUGGUAUGAGGACAACGCUCGAAGGGGACGCUAUACCGCAUACCCCUACAGAGGGGCAAAGACCCCGGGCCUUCGCUUCAAUAGCCUAGUCGGCCGGCUAGUGGUGAGUGUGGCGCACCUGGCGAUAUCCGUAACUGUCUAGAAAUGAGCACCACACGGAACUAGACACGCCCGGAUCCUACAGGGGCAGCAUGAAAGCUUUGACAAUAAGCGAAACCUGUUUGGCCAGCGGCGUGUGUAGAGAAGCCAGCGGAUUUUAUACCUACCUAGCGGAGGGGGGGGAGCAUAUUAACCGACGAUGUGCCUUGCCAUCCCACCGAUGGGACCCGACCUACCUCCUGCA